AUGAAUGUAUAUUUUAGAAGAUAGUGUCUUCGUGAUGUGUGAACUAAUAAAAUUAUAAAAAUUGAAUUGAAUACUAGCGAUGAAGAAGCGUUUUUCCAACAUGGAUUACCAGUCGGCAGUAGUAAGUCCAAACAUUUUAAAUGGUGGGAUAUAAUCAAAAUACACUACUCCAAUUCUUUAAGUAAUCAGAUAUAUUUCGAGUAUGUUUACUAUAUUAUAAUCAAAGGUGAUUAUGACAACCAAUCAGUUUAAUUUAAACCGUUUACAUAAAUGUCAAUUACUUAUCUAAAUUGUAAACAUUAAACUAGCGUAGUGUACUAUAUAAUAAAAUAACUAUUUGUAACGUUGCAAGUGAUUUGUUACGAGUCAUAAAUUAAUUAAAAAUAAAGUUAUUUUAAAUUUUAAAAUAUAGACAUUUUUUGAUUAUUGAUGAUUUCACUCGAUUCUUGUUUUUUCUUUUAUAAUGAAUAUUCGAGAAUACAGCAAACUUGAAUAUUACAAUACAUCAAAUAUCACUGGUGUUCACAUUUGUGUUAUAAUUUUAGAUAUUUACAUUAUUAACCUUUUGCUGAAUUAAUUACAAUAGAAUUUUUAAUUUAAUUAUUAGAUGAGACAUUUUUUUGAACAAUGGUUUUAUUUAAAAAAAAUUU